CGGGUGAGUAACGCGUGGGAAUCUGCCUUUGAGCGGGGGACAACAUUUGGAAACGAAUGCUAAUACCGCAUAAAAACUUUAAACACAAGUUUUAAGUUUGAAAGAUGCAAUUGCAUCACUCAAAGAUGAUCCCGCGUUGUAUUAGCUAGUUGGUGAGGUAAAGGCUCACCAAGGCGAUGAUACAUAGCCGACCUGAGAGGGUGAUCGGCCACAUUGGGACUGAGACACGGCCCAAACUCCUACGGAAGGCAGCAG
rnacentral:rRNA from 1 species